UGGAUUCAGACACCACAAACACAUCCAAGUGUCUUCCAUGAGCCAGCCUUUAUGUAAGGUUGGCAUACAGUCUUUUAGUUAGCAUUUCAAGUUGCAAAAAGCCUGUGAGAAAGAUCAUUUGCUUCAUCACUGCUGAAUUUCUCCUUUCAAGUGGGUGUUGAUACUCUCACUGGAUUUUCUUAUCUCUGCCCAUUGCUCAUUACACUCUGAGGGAUCUGGCUCAACUUGAGUGAGUUAACAACUGCAGAUCUUGUCCUUUGACAGCAGCUAGAAGACCUCAGUCUCCCAACUCUUGAGUACACAGUGUUCUCUGCAAAAUUUGAACACCAGUCAUUAGAGAAGAGACUCAAAGGCUUUUCUGUUUUGAAAGUAUCUAAUUGUUUCAGAGAGUUAUGAAUCUCCCAAUCUCUCUGUAUUUGAACUUCCUCCUCAUGACAUGAAAGGAUAUAGACUUUUCCAGGACACAUACAGCCCCACACGAUCAGUGGCUCCAUUAUCCACUCAUGAGUAAGGGCUGAAGGUCCCUUAGGUUUUGAACCAGUUGCUGUCUAUUAUACUUGAUGACCUAUACAAGUGUCAAGUCAAUAAAGCUACAUAAAGUCUGACAGAAAUUUACAGACUUAUUUUGAAAUAAUUAUUUGUGCACUGCUGGAAAAUCUCUCCUUUCCCUGAGGGGAAUAAGAGGUUUCCUCUUUAAGAAAAAGCGUCCAAUAGAAGAUGUAAUGAAAUUGGAAUGGAUUUCAAAUCAAUGACCUUCUUAGGCUGAAUCCAUUAUUUCUCUAAAGGUAAAGCUUAAGAUUACAUACUUUCUCACAAUAAUGUGCUUAACGACAACCUUUCAGGAGAAAAAGACUGACAGCAGUUAUUUUAUACGAAGGUAUGCAGCUUAUAAACAGGCUGUGCAAUGACCAGGCAGAAAGAUGUUUAAAGGUACAAGAAUUUCAGAUGAAGAUGAAAUGAGACUAUCAUUUGCUACAAAUUCAACUGUCUUUUAAAUGCCUCCUUUGUUAUGGAGAAAAUGACUACUUAAAAAGAUUUCACAGAAAGACUUAAAUCACACUCGUAGUAAUCAUUUGGUCUGCCACAACCCAAAUGCCUCAUUAGCAAUGUAAUUGCUCACACAGAAAAUACAGCAAGAGGUUGUCCCCUUUUCCAUGGGGGGAAGAAAGAAAAGGAAGGAAGGAAGGAAGGAAAGAAGAAAGGGGGGAAGGAAGAGAGACAGAGAGAAAGAAAGAGAAAGGAAAGAAAAAGAAAGAAAGCGAAAGAAAGAAAGAAAGAAAGAAAGAAAGAAAGAAAGAAAGAAAGAAAGGAAGGAAGGAAGGAAAAGAAAAAGCAAACAUCAACUAUGCUUAUAUAAACAAAGAAUAUUUUAGUGGAAUGAAUGUAAGCUUUCUCCUGAAGGAAUCCCAUUUAGAAUGUCAUCAGAAAUGGCAACACUUUCAACAUCAUAGCAGUAAUGUAUUCCAACUUUAUUAGCACUGAGGCACAAAGUCAAAUUUGGCAGGAGAAAAGGUAAACAAACAUUACUGACAUUGCAACAGACUAAGUGAUCUUGUAAGCCUCACUGUUAAGAGAGAAAAUUAAAAUAGAUAAUAUCUUUGUUAUAACUACAAUAAUUUCUAGGACUGCUGCCUAGGAUAAAAAUAUUCUUCGUUCUCCCAUUUUAAAUUUCUAUAUAAAGACACUAUUAAGUUGCAGUAACAUGUAUUUUUAUAUUUCAAUAAGUCCCUCAUAAUAAAUUUGACCUCCAUUUCAAAGUUGAUUAGGAAGUAGUAAAUUGAAACCUUUAGGUUUUCUGUCCUUUUUAAAGCAAAUAUGCACCAUAAGCAUUUUCUUGUAAUGACAGCCUUGAAGUGCUGUCAAUCAAUGGCAAGUGCUUAAGGGAGAAACCCCAUUAAUAAAUUGGACCUUCCUGUCACACAAGCAGCUGCUCAUUCACACAAAUGCAUGUCUAUCUUCUUCCUCAACUCCUUGCUUCAGUUCCACUUUUUGAAUUGAGCCAGAUUUACCUACCAGUGAAGCAAACAACAAGCUUUAAUUAUGCAUGCUGAUUGUAAUUCAACUUAAUCCUUCAAUAACUGAAUAUCAUGGAUAAGUCUUUCAUGUUCUUCAUUUUGUUUACUCUUUCAUAUAGGUCCUUGCAUUUGAUAAAUUUUAACAAUAGUUUUACUAGAAAAAGUCAACAAGCCUAUGUGGGUUUGUGUUCAGUCAAGAAACAGUGAACAAAUUUAGCUCCUCUGGUAAUCAUCCUGAGCUCAUAGGAAGAAUAUCACCUAAGUGGCAAGAGAGAAUUAUAAUGCUAUUACUAAAAUAAUACCCUAUGAAGAGAGGCCAUAGAAUUUUCCACAAAUAGCCUAUUAGAGACUCACAUUUUAUAAUAUAGAAAAAUCAUAUUCUCUUCAUAGAAACAUCAUAGGUUACAAUGUGAGUUUGAAUCAUAUGUUACUUACAGGUUUGCUCUAUAAAUUGACAUGGGACUUAUUCUUAACCUGAAGACUUUCUACAAUUAGACCAGUACCAACAAAACCUGUCAUUUGCGUACAUUGUAAGACUUUCAGGGGAAAAUACUAUAAUAUUGAUCUUUACAUUCCAUAUGGAAUAUCUUUGCACAGGUAAUUAAGGUGAUUUGGAUAACUAUAUAUAGUGUGUUUUAGAAUAAGCUACUAAAGUGAUUCUUAAAGUCUGAUCCCCAGACAACCACCAUCAGCAACAAUUUGGAAAUUUGUUAGUUGUACAAAUUAUCCAUCCCUAGCUGAAACCCCUGACCAAAUAUAUGAAUCAGAAAUUCGAGGUAUAGGCUUAGCAAAGUGGGUCAUGAUAAGCCCUUCAGAUGAUUCUGAUUUGUGUUCCAAUUUAAAACCAUUUAUGCACACCAUGCUCUGUAUGGUCAGAAUAAUCAAUGUCACCAUGGUUUAACUCUGCUUCUUCCCAGGAAGAAGCUUGAAAGCUUAAAUUGUAAGCUCCGCCUUGGUACAAUGAAGCUAGUGUACGGGCAGAAAUGUUCACCAUUCAGACCUACAAUGCCAUUUAAAGGAAAAUUUAUCCUUAGAACUAUUUGUUUCUGAUAUAAGUGGGCUUUGGGCAGGCUUGCCAGUCAGAGAGAUUUCUGAUUAGCCUUUAUCAUUCUUUUUAAAAGCAAGAGCUGAUCUGAUUUACUUGACUGCCCAAGGGCCUAGAAAAUGAUCUUGGAGGUCUUUCUCUUCAUGGAUUAGCUCUGCCCAUUUGCCCUAGUGCUGCAGUGUUGUGUAACUGUCUGGUGACAGUCUUCCAGUUUGAAGAGUGGGUAGACGCUGAGAUAAAUGGCCACUAGUGAUGAGUGAGCUUUGGUUUUUAGAAGGUGUUUCCAAAGGCCCACAUGGCUCAUAAAACUUGAAAACCACAGACAGGGCAGGCACGACCCCAAGUCCCCAGAGACCUCCUUUCUAGGCUUUCUCAUUUGCUCUGGGCCAGGACUGAAGUAGAGAGUCACCAAGGGACUUUGCAUAUAAAAAUGGCUUAGACAAGGAAACUUAGGGUUGUGGAGUGUGUGUGUGUGUGUGUGUGUGUGUGUGUGUUUUCCCUUAAAUUUAAUCUGAAAAAAAAUAUGUUAUGUGCACUUAAAACGCCCAUAUGUAUUUGGUCCUUCCUGUUGAUCUAGAAAAAGUAAUUCAAAGGAUCUAAAAAAGAAAAAGCCUAACAUAUAAGCUCCAUAAUGAUAUUCUGGAGGCAAACACUAGAACUAUCACUUUAGUCCUCCCUCAGGAGCCAGAAUUGUCAGCUAUUUUGAAAUGACUGCUCUUUUCUGGGAUGGGGGGAUGAGAAUUAGUGAUAGACAUCUUUUGUUCUAACUGCUCCUCUAAAAUCUGUGUUCUCCUGUCGGUGAUCAAAGCUUGAGCGUGUGUUUGGGCAUCCAUUUGCUGUGGCUGAGCACAUCAUCUCAUUGGAUCUUUUCCCACUUCUCUGAUCCUACCGUGUCCCACCUCAAGGUAGCUCCACCAACUCCCACACCGCCAGUGUCCACCAUAAUCUACAUCUCCAUUGCACAUCCUAAAUUUUGCUCAAUGUCAAAGCCUUGCUAAGAAGCUACUUCCUAGAAUGAUUACACCUUUCAGGCCAGUUUCAUCCUUGCAGGGGAAGAGACUGGGUCAGAAUGACAGGAAUUCACUCAGAUCCAUCAAAGAGAUCAAGAGCUGUUACCUUCUUCCUGACCUCCGUAGUCACAGGGGUUUCCAAGGCCAAGUCCCAACAAUGGCUUUUCUUCGUCCACAUGCUUUGUGCUAUUGGCUCAGAUACUGAAAUCUUGAAACCUUGAUUUAAAAUUUAUCACAGAAAAAGCAGGGGGGAAAGUGACACACUCUAAAGACCUUUACUUAGGAAGUACAUCAAAUCUUAUUCCACUUAGAAUGGCUAUUACUAAGAACUCAGGAAACAACAAAUGCUGAGAGGAUUCGGGGAAAAAGAACCCUUCUACAUUGUUGGUGAGAAUGUAAACUAGUAUCAGGACCGUGGGAAUCAGUAUGGAGAUUCCUCAAAUAACUAAAAAGAGAAAUUACAUUUGACCUAGCUAUUCUUCUGGGUAUCUUCCCAAAAGAGCUAAAGUGAUCAUAUUACAAUGAACAUACAUAUCCAUGUUUACAUCUGCACAAUUCAUGAUAUCUAAAUUGUGGAAGCAGCCAAUAGGCCCAUCAAGAGAUGAAUGGAUAAAGAAAAUGUGGUAUUUAUACACAGUGGAUAUAUAGCUAUAUAUAUCCACUCAGCUAUAAAGAAGGAUACAUUUGAAUUAUUUGUAGAUAAAUGGAUGGAUCUUGAGACCAUAAUUCUAACUAAAAUAGAUGCAGAAGGUUAAGUAUCACAUGGGUUCACUCAUAAGAGGAACCCAAAGUGUAAAUACAGCAAAAUUAAAGAGAGGUGGUAAGAAAUAGGGAGGUAGCCUCUAUGGAGAUGGGAAGGGAAUAAAGGGAAGCAGAUCAGGGGAAGGAGGAAGAAGGAAGGUUAAGAGGGGAAGGGUGAGUAAAAGUGAUCAAGAUGCAUUAGUAUAUGUACCAGUUCCCAAAGAUAGGUGUAAUUAUUAUGUUUCACAAACAUAUACUAAUAAAUAUAUUAAAGGCCCUGACAUUAGAAGGUAGUGGAUAAUUAUCUUUUAGUACCUCUACAGCUUUGCCUUUCAGUACUAUUCAUAGGUCAGUGGUGCAACUCAACACUAUUCCAAUAAAGCCAUAAUAACAAUCAUUGCUGGGACAACUGUUAUUACAACAGGACUUCCCUGAGUUCCACUGAUCCAUAUUUGUAGACAGUAUCAAGCUCACACCAGAGGACAUGUGGCUUUCUCAACACAGAGAAGGGAAGGGACCAGCAUGCUGUACAUACUGUAUAUAUGCACAAAAGUGCUCUGUGCCACUGACAGAGUUGAGGAGCAGGUGAGAAGGAAGACUUCUCUUGGACUUCUGUCUCGUUCUUGAUGGUUACUGAUGGAAGAUUUUCCCCACUGGAUAAGGUUAAUGGAAAACUGUGGUGGUGAAUUGAACUCAUUCUGAUCCAGAGCAAGGGGCAAUCCAUAAAAAAAAGGGUGGCACGACAUCAUGUCAGAAACCUCACCUCUGUACUAAUGCAUUGAUGACAACAACAACAAAAAGAAACCUCAUCUCCCCAAAUAGUAAUCAAGAAUUCCCUACACUGGGUCAAAAAGGAAAAGACAUCCUGUGCAUACCAUAUAACAUGUUUGAAGGAUACAUCACAAAUAAUCUUCAAAGGAAGGGAGGAGGAGAGUAGAAGGAAGAGAGGCACAACUAAGAGAUCUUACCUUGGAAAAUGCAGCAAGCAACCCUAAUAUUUCUCCAGCUUACCUGGAAUAUUUCUCAUACAUCUGAAGCUAUUUUUUAGAAUAAACACGCAGCACUUUGAAAUUUCUGAGUGAUGGCAUAUCAGUCAGAUAUUUGGAUACUUAAGUGAAUUUUUCAGUUUUGAGUCUUUCAUGCUGAUGAAUGUAAUCGCUUAAGAAUUGCCAUUUUGAGCCCAAAAGACACACAAGUAUAUGCACCAUAUGUUACUCAUUUUGUGGAAAACACAAUGUAUAAUAUUCAGUUUCCAGUGUGGUUUUUUUUAGUGUGCUUCAGUGAUAAAAUUUUAUGUGGAAUAAAGGUAGACAUACCCUCAUUGGUGAUCAUAUUGUUGAAAUUACAAUAUGUAAAAACGCUGUUAGAAAAACCUGUGUAAAAUAUCUUCUCUACUAUCAAUGAAUCAAUACACUUGGAACUUAAUUUUCAGAAAGAAUAUGUGCUACACUUAAAUAUUUUAUAUCUGUGAUGUUUUCUUAUUAUCUUAAAGUAGUUAAUGAGUGACCAGUUACCUGAUAUUAUCAAAAGGGAAAAUGGCCUCACUGAAGGAAUAAUGGAUGAUAUUUAUAAAGUUUCCUGCCAAAGAAAACUGUUUAAUGAUCUGUAAAUGUAGACUAACUUCUUCUAUUAUGAACAUGAUUGUCAGAAAUGCUUUCCUUAUCAUCGUCUAUCUUUUGAAAAUUAGUAUUUUGUAUUUCUAAGGACCAAGGAAAUAUUUUUAAAGCCAAUGUAAUACCCAGAAGCCUUGAAUAGGAGAGGUAUGGUGUCUUGGGUCAACAACAUCAAGCUAUAUUUGAAUUCUAAUAUUUUACGGUAAACUUAUCACUCUUUCCUCCAAUUCUUAUACUGCAUUAUGCAUUUUGGGAAUUUCAGCUGGUCUUUACAGUUAGAGGUACCAACAGUAACAGCAGAUGUUGUCUAACAUGGGAAGCAUUAAAAUGCUCCCCUUAAAGCACUUUGAGUGGAUGGAAAUGGCUAUUUAAUUUUCUCGUCUAACCAUUUCAUAUAACUUAAAGGCCUGAAAUGUUGCACAAGAUGUUAACAGACUGUGUGCAUCAAGGAUAUUUAAUCUGUGCAGUUAGCAAGAACUAGCCAUUUAAAAAUAUAUUCAAAUGUUUUGUAAAUAAAAAUUUUGAUUACUAGAGUUUUGUUCAAACUACUGUCUUUUAAAACAAUUAGAUUUUAUUUGAAUUUUAAAAAGAAUCUGUUACAAGUUAAUGUUGCUUUGUUGACUGUGUGAUUCAACGUACACUCAGCCAUAUUCUUGUGGGAAAAUAUCAAUCCUAUUGACUUUCUUGGCACGAGCCAGAGACUCACAGUUUCUCUAAGGACUGUAAGUAUAAAGACAAAAAAGCACCCAAAGGAAAUGCUAGUGAAGAAAUGAGAAGCGUAUUGUACAAAAUGUAUUUUUAAAAUAUUAAGAUAUAUGUGAUUUACACUGCCUGUUAAUCUAGUCUCUUUGUGAAAUAACCACAGCAUAAUAUUUGUUAAGACUUGGAGACACCAAAUAUUUGUGAUGUCUGUACAGCACCGUUGUUAUAAUAUGUGAUUUCAAAUGAUAAACAUCUUUGUUGUAAUCACGUGAUUCCCAGAAGAAUAAAUUUCUGCUAUUAUGUAAAACCAGCUCUCAGAAUUCAGAUUCCCUGCAGCUGCUAUAUCACCAAUAAAUGAGAAUUAAUUGUGGAAAAACAAUUUUGAACGAAUUUAGUUUAUGAUGACUGUGCAUUUUGUCAAUGAAUGAAUUCAGAGAGUUUUAUUUUUACCAGAUAUGCUCUCAGCCAGUGAAUACAACUGCUGAUUUCAACCAUAAUAUUAUUUCAAAUAUUUCUAUAAUACUGAUCUAAUGACCAAACAAUGGAAGCUUUGUGUGAAGUGCGUCCUAACAAAUGUACAAUAAAUGACUUUUCCUGCAUGCUGCCUGAAAUAUGUUAUAAUCUGAAAUGUCCUAUCAAAAAAUUAUAUAUUUCACAACCCAAAAUUGAACUGACAAUAUAUCUCAUGUGUAUAACUGAUGGUAUGUUAAUAUCAAAAUCAGAAACAUUGUCUGUCAUACAUGUAUGUUAAAUGUGAUAUUUGAUCUUGUCAAAAUGUAACUUGUGAUGUUUUCAUUUCCUAAACAAGUUGAUUCUGUACAAAUCAUUGUCUUAACUGUUUUCCUUAUCAUACCAUAUUUCCUAACACUGAAAUAUAAAUGUUUGUUAAUUAAUUGUUCAUUUUUCGUCAACUUUUAUGUAUCUUUAAUGUGACUCCAUUACCUAACCUGAACAAAGGAAAAUCAAAGCUUUCCCUGUCAUGGGCCCAGGGAUAUUUGUUCAUUCAUCCAUCUAACAAGUAUUUAUUAAGCAUCUACUAUGAAUAAGAUUCUUUACCAAAUAUUGGGAGAAUUCAUAAGAACCAGAGAAAUUGUUAAUCUGUAUCCUCCAGGGAAGUUUUCUGAAAUCUCCCUGAACCAUUUUGUGUUUUCCAUGGAGUUGUUAAGAAAUUAGCUUCCUUCUCCUAUGUUAUAACAAAUUAUCUAUUAAAGAGUCC
rnacentral:lncRNA from 1 species